AUUGCAUCCAUCCAUCCUGAAUGAUAUUCUUUGUUGUGUCCAUUCUUAUAAGCAAGGUCUACAUGAAUUUAUGGAACUGGAUUUCCUUCUUAUUUACCUUGUCUCCUGUUAUUAUUAGAUGAAUGACAGCAGAUUUUACCCUGGUUAAAUAGAUUUUGGGACAGGAACACCUAUGGCAUCGUUAUGCUUCUGCUAUCUGUUCACAAAUCGGGGGAUUAUUUUUGUCUGCCUCAAAAAUAUGGUAGUUUUGAAGAAAAAAAUUUCUCAAGGCUCUCCUACUGGCAGUGGGUGCAUUGCAUCCAAUCAGUAUCAAAUGCUCUUGUCGGGAAUACAUGAAACCAAGGUUGUCAAAAUCAUGUUUGUAAAUAGGCUUGAUAUGGGAUCACAAUUGAAUUAUGAAGAAUAACAAGAUUGUAGAAAGAAAAAGGUAACAGAUAAAAAGGGUAUAUAUUUCAAAAUCAUGAUAUAAUUUCAAGAAAAAGAUGUAGAAGAAUCAAACCAAUGUCUGGAAACUAGGCAUGAUUUCAUCCAUAGCCAGAGAUUGAAAAGAAGAAAGAGGGAAAGAGGGAUUAGGGGUGAAUGAUGUACUGAAAAACUGCUGAAAAUCAGAAAUGUCAAGAAGUAUAUCUCUGAGG